UAGGGAAUCUUCCGCAAUGGACGCAAGUCUGACGGAGCAACGCCGCGUGAGUGAAGAAGGAUUUCGGAUCGUAAAGCUCUGUUGUUAAGGAAGAACGAGUGUGAGAAUGGAAAGUUCAUACUGUGACGGUACUUAACCAGAAAGGGACGGCUAACUACGUGCCAGCAGCCGCGGUAAUACGUAGGUGGCAAGCGUUGUCCGGAUUUAUUGGGCGUAAAGCGAGCGCAGGCGGUCAAUUAAGUCUGAUGUGAAAGCCCCCGGCUCAACCGGGGAGGGUCAUUGGAAACUGGUUGACUUGAGUGCAGAAGAGGAGAGUGGAAUUCCAUGUGUAGCGGUGAAAUGCGUAGAUAUAUGGAGGAACACCAGUGGCGAAGGCGACUCUCUGGUCUGUAACUGACGCUGAGGUUCGAAAGCGUGGGUAGCAAACAGG
rnacentral:rRNA from 1 species